rnacentral:lncRNA from 1 species
ACGUUAGAAAAAGAUGAUUUGCUAAAACUGAUUUAUCUUUUUGUUACGAUACCUGGUGAAGUAUUGGAAAAAAUCAAUUUAUAUACUUACGGAUAUACGAAGCUAUCUGAAUUAAUUCAAGAAGCAAGUACACCAAACGAUGAUGCAGAUAUUCUAUUAGAGGUGAAAAAUAUACUCUCAAUCAAGAUAAAUAGAAAGAUACUAAAAGAAAAAAAUAAUAUGGUCCAAUUUAAUGUCGCUUUGUAUAAAGGACUGAUUAAAUCUGCAAUUAUAAAGCAAUCUGAGGCUGAUGAAAAUUUUGAGGAUCAUGUGGGCGAUUAUAUUAAGAGUAAUAACACGUGUAAUAGUGAUUAUUACACAAACAAUGGAUUAGUAUUAUCAAUGGAUAAUAUGUUAACAUAUAACAGAUCAGACUUCAUAUACACGUCUGACUCGAUAUUUAUGAAAAUAAAAACAAAUGAUAUAUAUGCCUUUAACAAUUUAUAUUUAUUCGAACAUAAAAAUGAUGCACAGGAAAAGUUUUUGCAAGCGAUAUUAGUAUUAUCAAAUGAUAAUGUACUAGCUAUAGAUAAAAUAUUUUAUGUUGCAUUAAUAGCAAAUUCGUUAGAUAAUAAGAACCAACUUGUAUUAAGCUGUUAUGCAGAUAAAAAAUAUGAUUCAUCAGUGGCUUUGAAAGCAUAUAAUUUAGAAGAAAGAACAACAUAUUUUGUUUGUAAAAGCGUACCUGUAAAAGAUUUAAAAAAUGGAUUGUAUGAAUUUCAUAAGUAUUACAUGAGGUAUUACGACAGUUCAACCCACAAAAAUAUAUAUGAAAGUAUGCCAAUAAGACCAAUAUACGAAGUUCAAAAUAAUAAUGUGCACGUAUCAGAUGUAAAAUGUAAUAAUGUAAUAGUAAAAAUAGAAAAAUCGGAGGUAGUAAAUUCAUUUGUUAACUAUUUGAUAAAUGUUAGUGGUUCUAUCAAGAUGCAUGUAAACCCAUAUGUAGCAAUCACGCCUAUUUUUAAGCCGGAACAUUAUCAACGUAUUAUCGGUAAUGUAUAUAGCCAUGACGAUUUUAUUAAUAGCAUGUAUUCAAGGAAAUUACGAUUAUUAGAGUAUAAAGAUAUAUGUUCAGGACAAAUUCUAUAUAACACUGGAUUGGUGAAGUUGUUGAAAACAGAAAUAAACAGAAACGUGUCUGGUAUAGACGAGUAU